CCUACGGGAGGCAGCAGUGAGGAAUAUUGGUCAAUGGUCGGGAGACUGAACCAGCCAAGCCGCGUGAGGGAUGAAGGUACAGAGUAUCGUAAACCUCUUUUGUCAGGGAACAAAGGCGGGGACGUGUCCCCGGAUGAGUGUACCUGAAGAAAAAGCAUCGGCUAACUCUGUGCCAGCAGCCGCGGUAAUACGGAGGAUGCGAGCGUUAUCCGGAUUUAUUGGGUUUAAGGGGUGCGCAGGCGGUCUGUUAAGUCAGCGGUCAAAGCCCGGGGCUCAACCCCGGCCCGCCGUUGAAACUGGCAGGCUCGAGUUGGAGAGAAGUAUGCGGAAUGCGCGGUGUAGCGGUGAAAUGCAUAGAUAUCGCGCAGAACUCCGAUUGCGAAGGCAGCAUGCCGGCUCCACACUGACGCUGAGGCACGAAAGCGUGGGUAUCGAACAGGAUUAGAUACCCUAGUAGUC
rnacentral:rRNA from 1 species